rnacentral:rRNA from 1 species
AACGAACGCUGGCGGCAGGUCUUAGGCAUGCAAGUCGAACGGGUGUAGCAAUACAUCAGUGGCGCACGAGUGAGUAACGCGUGGGAAUUUGCCCAUCGGUGGGGAAUAACGUUUGGAAACGAACGCUAAUACCGCAUACGUCGAGAAAUCGAGAAAGAUUUAUCGCCGAUGGAUAAGCCCGCGUUGGAUUAGCUAGUUGGUGGGGUAAAGGCCCACCAAGGCAACGAUCCGUAGCUGGUCUGAGAGGACGACCAGCCACACUGGGACUGAGACACGGCCCAGACUCCUACGGGAGGCAGCAGUGGGGAAUUUUGGACAAUGGACGCAAGUCUGAUCCAGCCAUGCCGCGUGCGGGAAGAAGGCCUUCGGGUUGUAAACCGCUUUUGUCAGGGAAGAAAUCUUCUGGGCUAAUACCCUGGGAGGAUGACGGUACCUGAAGAAUAAGCACCGGCUAACUACGUGCCAGCCGCCGCGGUAA